rnacentral:rRNA from 3 species
AGUAGGGAAUCUUCCGCAAUGGGCGAAAGCCUGACGGAGCAAUGCCGCGUGAGUGAUGAAGGUUUUCGGAUCGUAAAGCUCUGUUGCCAGGGAAGAACGCUUGGGAGAGUAACUGCUCUCAAGGUGACGGUACCUGAGAAGAAAGCCCCGGCUAACUACGUGCCAGCAGCCGCGGUAAUACGUAGGGGGCAAGCGUUGUCCGGAAUUAUUGGGCGUAAAGCGCGCGCAGGCGGUCAUUUAAGUCUGGUGUUUAAUCCCGGGGCUCAACCCCGGAUCGCACUGGAAACUGGGUGACUUGAGUGCAGAAGAGGAGAGUGGAAUUCCAC